GACGAACGCUGGCGGCGUGCCUAAUCCAUGCAAGUCGCACGCAGUUGCGAACGGGUGAGUAACGCGUAGGUAACUGCCUCAUAGCUGGGGAUAAAUAUUGGAAACGAAAGAUAAUACCGCAUACUGUGGUAUGCACCUGCGUUGUAUUAGCUAGUUGGUUAGGUAAAGGCUCCACAAGGCGACGAUACAUAGCCGGCAUGAGAGGGUGAUCGGCCCAACUGCGACGGAGACACGGCCCAGCCUCCUACGGGAGGCAGCAGUAGGGACUCGUCGGCAAUGGACGGAAGUCUGACCUAGCACCGCCGCGUGAGUGAAGAAGGUUUUCGGAUCGUAAAGCUCUGUUGUUAGAGAAGCGGUAACUAACCAGAAAGGGACGGCUAACUACGUGCCAGACGCCGCGGUAAUAC
rnacentral:rRNA from 1 species